rnacentral:misc_RNA from 1 species
UUCGAGUAAAUUUUAAAUGCUGGAAAAUAUGCCUAGUUGCUAUUCUUAAAUUAUUUAACUUUCACUUAGUUUCACUGCUCUAAACUUGAUUUUGAAGGAGCUUAGCAUGCUACAUAUUUAUAGAUAUAAAAAUGCUGCUCACAGGACUGUAAUACAGCUGGAUUUAUAGUUGUUUUCAUACAUGUUUUAACUUCAAACAUCAACUAUUCUAGCUUGCUUAGGGUUCUUGAAUAUUCUCCAACAUUUGAUUAAGAGAUAUCUGAAUUUGUUGAAUAUAUGGCUACUGAAUUUUCUGGAUAAUUUGAGUUGCAUUUGAGCCGUAUAUCUACUGAAAAAUCUGCACUUUUCUCCUCCAAUUUUCUAGGUUAUUCUCAUAAGUUGGUUAUCUCAAUAGCUGAAUUUUCUUGCUUUAAAAUUUUAGAUUUUUCCUUGGUCAAAACUCAGACAAGAUUUCUGACUCUAAUUUUCUGCUAUCUUCUAUAUGCUUCUGCAAAAUUUCAAGUUUACAUUUUCAACAUGUUUUACAUAAACUAUUUGUACUUUUAGUCUCUGGGGUAGCAGAGCAGAGUACUUAAUUUCAUGUUCACAAAUCUUCUCCGUGUUGUGAUUUAGAAGCAAGCAUUUGAUUGUCACUCAUUUUUCUUUCAUCUUUGGGUAAUUUUUACAUAUGCAUUUGGAUUAGUGGGUUAUGUGCAAGUUUUCUUGUUGAGUUCUUUUGGAAUCAAUAAGAUCUUUGACAGUUAUAGGCAUAUAUUAUUUUAGUUAUCCUUUGCACUUUUAUUUUUGUCUACAAUUCAGUGAAUUGUUUCAUGAAUUUAUCUAUGUACGUGCUAAAUUUUAAACUAAGUCUAUAUGCUAUUGUAUAGAAAUUUCUUGAAUGCUAGUACAGGUUACAUAGUGAAUUUCUUUGUUUAAAACAAAUUUUUUGGCAAGCAUUUGAUUGAGGUUUUAACUGUUAUUUAAUAGGUUGUGCCCUUCUUUCAUGCAUAUUUGCGCAUGGGUGUGCAGUUUAAUGACCGUGAGCUUGUGAAAUGCAUCAUGAUAAGACUAAUCUUUAUCAUGAAUUCAUCAAUUAACUGAUGCUAUUUUAAAUCACAUAUUUAGUUAUUCGGCGUUUUGAGUUUCAUUGUGUUUUCUUUCUUUUUUUUUCUUUGUUGUUAUUGUUUUAGUAAUUUGUAAGGAAUCAAAUGAACGGAGCUAAAUUAAAUUUUGAAGAUGGAAUUGCAUGUGAACAUUUUUUUUAGUGUUUAAUUGGACAAUUAGACUUUGAUUAUGGUACCUUAACAGUAGAUUUAGAAGAAUGUUGUGAUUGCUAAAAAUUAUUGUACGCUCUAGAUGGGCCUAAGUAAUAGAUUGAUCAUGUGGAUGUUAUAACAUACAAUUAUUGUGUUCUUGGCAGGAUGCUAAGUCGAAAAUAUCGAAGAGAUUCUAUUGAAUUUUCAGCAGAAAUUGUUUAAAUAAUUAUCCUAUUAUAUAUUGGGAUUUUGAGUUAUAAAUCUUAAAUAGAGAAUAUUUUAGGUGAAGGAAAAUAAAAGAAAUUCGGAUGGGUCUAAAUCCCUGAGAAAAGUGAGUGAUGGCAUGCAUCACCAAAUUGUUGCAGGAAAAUUUAAUUUUUUUUUUUAUUAUUCUUUUUGUUUGUUUGGAUGCAAAGGAAAUUAUAGAACUGAGAUUUCACUUUUUGCAAUCAAAUUUAGCAUCAGGAUUUGAUGAUGCAAAUCAUUGCUUGCCUACUAAUUGUAGGACAAGUGCAUCCUUUUUCACUCGAACCUCACAGAGAUUGGACUCCUGACAAAGUACUUAGCAGAAACCCAUGAUAUAUAUCCUUGAGCAAAUUCACUUGUUUUGCCACCAUUCCCAAUAGGACUGAAUGUCACCGAAUAUGUCGCCUUCUGGUUCAUCUGUGAGAAGUAAAGUUUAGGGGGCUUGACACUCACCCCAACUCCUGGCGGGGGAACAAUAAUUGGCACAUAAACUGAAUUUGCAUAACCUACAUUUGUCACAGUCCUUGUGAAUGUCUGUGAAGGUCCCAGUGUGACUGAAUAUGAAGGAUAGUUCAGUUCCCCUUCAGGUAUGCUCGGUUUGUCUGAGCAUUUUAUUGGUCUCUGUGCAAUUAUGCUGACUUGCUCAUCUUUGUAGCCCAGGCCACACAAGUAAGGUAUAUAAUCAUCUGGUUGGAUGUCAUAAAUUAAACCUGGGUCAUUUGCUCUUGAUGGAUUCACGUGGCCUGCACCAGUGGCGAAGAUAUCAGCUGGUUGGCGUGUUUCAUCAACAAUGGGUUUACCUUCCAUGUUUAAGAUAUCGGCGGUAGUCAUUAUGGCAGAUUUAAUGGCCGAUGGUGACCAAUCAGGAUGGGAGCUCUUGAGCAAGGCUGCAAUACCACUAAGAUGAGGGCAUGCCAUUGAAGUUCCAGA